CCCCAAUACGAGGAAAAGAAACUAACAAAAGGAUCCCCUAGUAACGGCGAGUGAACCGGGAAGAGCUCAAAUUUGAAAUCUGGCGUGCUCAGUGCGUCCGAGUUGUAAUCUAUAGAGUCGUUUUCCGUGCCGGACUGUGUCCAAGUCCCUUGGAACAGGGUAUCAAAGAGGGUGAUAAUCCCGUACUUGACACAAUGACCGGUGCUCUGUGAUACGUCUUCUACGAGUCGAGUUGUUUGGGAAUGCAGCUCAAAAUGGGUGGUGAGUUCCAUCUAAAGCUAAAUAUUGGCGAGAGACCGAUAGCGAACAAGUACCGUGAGGGAAAGAUGAAAAGCACUUUGGAAAGAGAGUUAAACAGUACGUGAAAUUGUUAAAAGGGAAACGAUUGAAGUCAGUCGUGACUGAGAGGCUCAGCCGGUUCUGCCGGUGUAUUCCCCUCAGUCGGGUCAACAUCAGUUUUGUUCGGUGGAUAAGGGCAGUUGGAAGGUGGCACCCUCGGGUGUGUUAUAGCCAGCUGUCGCAUACAUCGGAUGAGACUGAGGAAUGCAGCUCGCCUUUAUGGCCGGGGUUCGCCCACGUUCGAGCUUAGGAUGUUGACAUAAUUGGCUUUAAACGACCCGUCUAAAAACCGCGG
rnacentral:rRNA from 1 species